CUGGGCUGUGCCCUGACAGCCCUAAAGGAGCUGAUCUGAGCAUGGCAGAAGUUCUCCCUCCUUAUGCUUGGCUAACGUCAUAUGCUUACCCGGGGUGAGAGUAAGGGCUCUAGAGAUUCCGGAACCUUGUUUUCUGCCUUCAGACCUGUGUGACCAUGUUGAGACUUCCGCAGGGAACAGCUGGAAUGUUUAGGAUGGCAGCUGUUAGCUCUCCUGCAGCUUAGCAUCUGGUUCUGACAGAUUAAGGAAGAUCAUGUUCCUGGGUCUGCUGGUGACUAGAGCUAAGAAUAGCCACCAAGCAAGAGGAUAGUGAGAUAUAAUUUGCACAACAUUGGCCAUCACCAUGGUAAUGACCAGCUAGGACUUAUUUUCCAGUUGACAGAGAUGGAAACAAAGUCCUGUCAUGAAGGGCAGGAGGCUACCAGUGGAUAAAGCAUGGCACCUGGAUUAUCAUGAAGAGCACUUUCCCACUGAUUAUGAUCACAGGGCUCACAAACCAUUAUGUAAAGAAAACUAAGUUCUGAUGAGUUGAACCCUUAUUCAG
rnacentral:lncRNA from 1 species